rnacentral:rRNA from 1 species
ACUCCUACGGGAGGCAGCAGUGGGGAAUAUUGGACAAUGGGCGAAAGCCUGAUCCAGCCAUGCCGCGUGUGUGAAGAAGGUCUUCGGAUUGUAAAGCACUUUAAGUUGGGAGGAAGGGCAGUAACUUAAUACGUUGCUGUUUUGACGUUACCGACAGAAUAAGCACCGGCUAACUCUGUGCCAGCAGCCGCGGUAAU